GACGAACGCUGGCGGCGUGCUUAACACAUGCAAGUCGAACGGAAAGGCCCUGCUUUUGUGGGGUGCUCGAGUGGCGAACGGGUGAGUAACACGUGAGUAACCUGCCCUUGACUUUGGGAUAACUUCAGGAAACUGGGGCUAAUACCGGAUAGGAGCUCCUGCUGCAUGGUGGGGGUUGGAAAGUUUCGGCGGUUGGGGAUGGACUCGCGGCUUAUCAGCUUGUUGGUGGGGUAGUGGCUUACCAAGGCUUUGACGGGUAGCCGGCCUGAGAGGGUGACCGGCCACAUUGGGACUGAGAUACGGCCCAGACUCCUACGGGAGGCAGCAGCGGGGAAUAUUGCACAAUGGGCGGAAGCCUGAUGCAGCAACGCCGCGUGCGGGAUGACGGCCUUCGGGUUGUAAACCGCUUUCGCCUGUGACGAAGCGUGAGUGACGGUAAUGGGUAAAGAAGCACCGGCCAACUACGUG
rnacentral:rRNA from 1 species